GGAAUAUUUGCAUAUAAUGAGAUAUCUUGGGGAUAUGAUCCAAGUCUAAACAUGAAAUUCGCUUAUUUUUUUUUUAAUUUUUUAAUAUUUAUUUUUUAGUUCUCGGCGGACACAACAUCUUUGUUCGUAUGUGGUGCUGAGGAUCGAACCCGGGCCGCACACAUGCCAGGCUAGCGCACUACUGCCUGAGCCACAUCCCCUGCCCCUGUGAAAUUUGCUUAUGUUUCUUAUACUCCUUUAACAGAGAGCCCAAAGGUAAUUUUAUACUGUAUUUUUAGUGUGUUCGCAUUUUAAAUGUGACCAAUCACAUGUGGUCAGGUGUGGAACUCUCCACUUGUGAUGUCAGGCUAGUGCACAAAAACUUUUGGAUUUCAGAGCAUUUUGAAUUUAGGGGUUUGGGGUCGAGAAUGCUCAACCUGUAUCAAAUUUUCACAGCCCUUAAAGAACUAAUGGAUGAGAAAUGAUUGCUAACAGAAAAAAACAUAGACAGCCUGAAAAUAUGUGCCACCUGUUUGUCAAAAGAAGAACGUGCCCCAUUCAUGAAGACUCGCCAAAGAGUAAACUUGAAUCUCAUCAAGCCUCUCAUUCCAAUUACCAAUUUCAGAAAAUUUAGAGGACAGAGGAACAGAUUACACUAUGCUAAAGGAAUGCAAACAAGAGAAAAGCAAACUGUGAGAAACUCUACAGAACAAAUGACCUGAUCUCUUUAAUAAUUAAUUUGCAAAAAAGGGGAGAACCCUAUAGAUCAAAAGAGAUUUAAAAGCAUAUCAACCAAUUGCAACCUGUGGAUUUUAUUUGGAUCUUAAUAUUUUUCAAACGUAAAAUAACAUUUAUGAGAAAAUUGACCAUCUGAACAGUGACUAUAUAUUUGAUUAUGUUAAGGAAUUGCUGUUAAUUUUAUAGAUUGGUUGUUAAUAUUGUGGUUAUGUAUUAAAAACCUUCUCUUCUGUUGAUUAAAUUAUUUAGUCUCCAAGAUUUGCUUUAAAAUAACAUGCAANUGACCCAAGGGCAUGUAACCACUG
rnacentral:lncRNA from 1 species